UCGCAUUUAUUUUCAGCACAAUUAGGAGUAGUUCUAGUCUAGUUCUAGUUUAGCCCUAGUUUAGUAUUCCAAUCCCCAAAUUCUCCGCCUCUCCUCGACUCUACGUCGAUUAGAGGAGUCUAGGUCGGCCGGCCCGAGCCUAGACAACUCCUAGGAUCUCUCCUCCCCGACGGGGUCCCUCCCGGGAGCGAGAUCCAGGCGCCGCUGGCGAUCUUCCGCCGCCCCUGCGCACGCGCGGACCGUCCGACCGUCAGGCAGGGAACCCGAGCUCCUGCUCCAGGUCGCGGACCGUCCGGCCCUGUGCCGCGGACCGUCCGCGCCUGACCAGAGAGCACCGCCACCUCACGCCAGGUCGCGGACCGUCCGGCCCUGUGCCGCGGACCGUCCGCGCCUGACCAGAGAGCACCGCCACCUCACGCCAGGUCGCGGACCGUCCGGCCCUGUGCCGCGGACCGUCCGCGCCUGACCAGAGAGCACCGCCGCCGGUUCUUUUGAAGUGAUUGGCACCUCCAAAAAGGUGUCAACGUACUUUUUGGCGACUCCGCUGGGGACUAGGUGUCUAGAUCUGCUAAAAAUCGGCCCAUAAAUGGCCGGUUCUAAGGAUCACACCAAGAUCUCCACUACCAACAUCAUCAAGCCGGCCAUGGAGGCGCUCCCGGCUGAUGACCAAAGGCCCUUUGAAGACCUCGUAAUGCGCGAUGAGAAGGAGGUGAUGCGGCAAUGGAACGAACAACACGACAAGGAAGAGGCGGAACUACUGCAUAAACUCUCCGAAAGGCGCAAGGAGGCGGCAGACAAGUACUUGUCACACUUCACGGUAGAUCGCCACCAGAAGAUCGUCCGUCAAGGGGAGAUCGAUAUGGAAUCUCUCCUACCUCCACUUCAGGGUCCCGCUGUAAGUACUCCAGACCUAUCUCUUACGACUUUCAUGGAUCAACGAGGAGAUCAAUUAAAGCAAUAUGUAGAUGAAUCUAUUAAAAUGCAUUUACGUGCAUACGAGAAAUCAGCUGCUCCUAACUUUCCAUCACGAGAGUCUAAUACAGUGCCACCCACGUCAAACACAUCGGCUAUAAACGGGUCACCCUUGACCCAGCCAUCAUAUGGUAUGCCGAUGCACGCUUUCGUGUCACCAUCACAGCCGCAACCACUAGGCACACGGCAGGUACUGGACGCGACCGGACCGUCCGAGCAUCAUCUCAGACAGUCCGGUUAUACCGCGGACCGUCCGGCGUAUUUCGCCGGGCCGUCCGACCAGAUGCAGGCCCGCACGCAAAACACUCAGGUCGCACCGUACAUGGCCGGACCAUCAGGGUACAACCCUGAACACUUCGGCCCCAUCACGGACCGUCCGGUGCAUCACGCCGGACCGUCCGGAUAUGUUGCGAACCGUUCGCCAUCUUACGCCGGACCGUCCGGAUAUGGCAUGAACCGGCCGACGUAUUACGCUGGACCAUCCGACUCUACACGAGUCCACGCGCAGACUACCCAAGUCGCGCCAUAUAUGACCGAUCCGUCCGGGUACAGCCCUGGACCAUUCGGCCCGAUCGCGGACCGUCCAGUUAUCUACGACAGACGGUCUGGGUACGAGACUACCCAUGUAGCACCAUAUACGGCUGGACAAUCCGGAUAUACCUUCGAACCAUUUGGCCAGGUCGCGGACCAUCCGGCCUCUUAUGCCGGACCGUCCGGAUAUGCAUACGCAGAGCCGAGAGCUGCGCAAUACGCACAGUUUCCGCAUUCAUCGCAGCAACAUUAUGGUGCCCCACCAGUAACACAUUAUAAUCAUGCCAUACCACCUCAUGGACAUAGGGCUGAAUACUGUUCGGCCACAAGAGAGCCUGAGAGGUAUAGGGCAGGAGUUGGUGACAUUAAUAGGACACCUAGCGCACACCUCAAACAUCCCUGGGAGGAAAGCCGACAGAGUGAUGUCAGGCAACCUGAGGUUUCCACCCACAAACUCAAUAGAUGGUCGCCAGAUAUGGCGGAGAGGAUCAGAGACGAGGUAGCCGGGAUGUUCAGGGACAAACUCGGUGUUAGUUUGUCAGGUACAGGGCAAUCGUAUCGGAAGCCUUAUAGCCACCGAUUCGACACCGUGCCAUAUCCACAGGGAACUAGAAUACCAGACUUCUCUAAGUUUUCUGGUGAAGGUGGGAAAAGCACACACGAACAUAUUAGCCAAUUCAUAGCACACUUAGGAGAAUUGGCUGAUGGGGAAGCCUACCGCGUUCGUUUAUUUUCGUUGUCCCUUACUGAUACUGCAUUUGCAUGGUACGCAACUUUGCCACCAAACUCUAUUAACUCUUGGGAAGAAUUAGAGCAGAAAUUUCAUGAACACUUCUUCUCAGGAGAACAUGAAUUAGAAUUGGCUGACUUAGCCUCAGUCCGACAGGGGCCUGAAGAAUCGGUUAAUGACUAUAUCCGGAGAUUCCGGGACACUAGAAACCGAUGCUUUCAGAUUCAUGUCGCGGAAAAACAACUAACAGGGCUAGCUUUCAAUGGGUUGCGACCCUACUUAAAAGAAAAAUUAGAUGGUACCCAAUUCUUUUCGCUAGUGCACUUGCACCAGCGGGCUAUGACAUGUGAAAGCCGAAGUAAGGAAACAUCAAAAUCGGCUAGCCAUAAGAUGCAUCUAGUGGGAUAUGAUAACUCGGACGAUGAAUCCACGGAUGUAUACACCGCUGAACUGGUUUGGCCAGGGCAGGCUAAACCUUCACCGUGUUCUGCUUUACAGUCGAUUCGAAAGAAUCGACAAGAAGAAGUUAAGUUUACGUUUAAUGUUGCCAAAUGCGAUAAAAUAUUUGACGAGUUACUGAAAAACGGCAACAUUAAAUUAACUCAUACUAUUCCUCCUCCUGAUGAAUUAAAGAGGCGUGCUUAUUGUAAGUGGCAUAAUUCCUUUUCUCAUGCCACCAAUGAUUGUAAUGUUUUUCGUCGACAGAUACAAUCGGCCAUAAAUGAGUGUCGAUUGGCUUUUCAGGAGAUGCAAGUAGACACACAACCCUUUCCUGUUAAUACAAUAGAACUCACAUGCAAAAAGGUCUUGGUUCGGCCCGAAAUGGCCGAUAAAGGCAAAGGCAAGGGUAUCGUCAUUGGCGAUCCCCGCAUGUCAGAUAUAUCACAAAAAGAGAUUGCUCGAAAGGCUUCGGACGAGAAGGCUAAAAAGUCCGAAGACACUGGGGGGCAGGCACAGUUAAUGAACCAAACACAUCAGCCUAGCCCGAACAUCGUAGAUGGUCCGGCACCUACGUGCGGACGAUCCGGUGCUCAGACAAACGGUCCGGCUAACUCAGCCGGACAGUCCCCCUAUGACCAAAGGCGUCAACCUCUACACAAAGCAAGGAAAAAGGCGCAAGGUCAAAGCACAUAUAAUCGGCUGAUCAAAGCCGAUCCUACUUUUGAUCAGUUGCUCUCCAAAAAUGCUAGCAAAAAGACUGUUCCACGUGAUCGGUCAACAAAGAAACCCCAGCCACCUGCUAAAACAAAACGGUUAAACAAAACGGCCCGAAAGGCGACACAACAAGCAUCGCCUAUUCAUUCUAUGAGACCAGGGUACUUUCCACCUAUUUACUCAUCGUCGGUAUAUUAUCCUGUUCAAACAUGGAAUGGCACGAUGAUGAAUCCAUGGUACAUGUAUAGUCCCUUCGUCUAUCCAGACUGGGGGGCACCUCCAUUCUAUUCCUUUUGAUCCAUUGAUCAAAUGGUCAUGGCCGAGAAAGAUACAAUCCGAAACGGCCUUUAUAUUGGUGCUUUAUUGAAUAAUCUCCAUAUCGAAAAGCCGGUGACUUACAUCAGGUUUAGUUCAUAUGCUUUUGGUUCGUCGACCUUCACCAAAAGGCAGGGGGCAUAUGUUGGAACCCAAAAUGACCGUGCGGACGGUCCGGCCCGGAGGCCGGACGGUCCGCGGUCCGGACCGUCCGCGGUGGUGGCGCGGACGGUCCGCGCGUGCGCAGAGUCAGUUAGGGUUCCUAGUUUCUCGCGGGAUUUGUUACCUAAAACCGCGGGAUUAACUCGGAAAUCAGUUGGAAGCGGAUCCAGACCUCCCCCUUUAUAUAGAUGAAGGGAUACGGCCGAUUGAACCCCCAACAAUCGAACCAAUACCACUUCUAUCUCGCAUUUAUUUUCAGCACAAUUAGGAGUAGUUCUAGUCUAGUUCUAGUUUAGCCCUAGUUUAGUAUUCCAAUCCCCAAAUUCUCCGCCUCUCCUCGACUCUACGUCGAUUAGAGGAGUCUAGGUCGGCCGGCCCGAGCCUAGACAACUCCUAGGAUCUCUCCUCCCCGACGGGGUCCCUCCCGGGAGCGAGAUCCAGGCGCCGCCGGCGAUCUUCCGCCGCCCCUGCGCACGCGCGGACCGUCCGACCGUCAGGCAGGGAACCCGAGCUCCUGCUCCAGGUCGCGGACCGUCCGGCCCUGUGCCGCGGACCGUCCGCGCCUGACCAGAGAGCACCGCCGCCUCACGCCAGGUCGCGGACCGUCCGGCCCUGUGCCGCGGACCGUCCGCGCCUGACCAGAGAGCACCGCCGCCGGUUCUUUUGAAGUGAUUGGCGCCUCCAAAAAGGUGUCAACACAGUGUUUUUGUUUUAAU
rnacentral:lncRNA from 1 species